ACCUCCAACAUGAACCAGCAGUCAGCUGGGCCCAGGCUUCAGCAAAUAUCUGCAUUGACAGCUGCGCAGCAGCAACAAAGGCACCUAGCAAUACAGCGGUUACAACAAAGUGGUAGAGCUGUGACAGCAAAUGGACAAAUAGUUACCAGCAACGGUCAAAUACUGACUGCUGCUGGAGGACAGCUAGUGGCCGCUCGGCAGUUAGCUCCUCCUCCGUCACUUCCGCCCCCACCAUAUCCUGGACCUCCGCCUCCGUACCCGGGUGCAAUUCAACCUCAGCAACCGCAACUCCCGCAGCAGAUUCCAGGGGUGAGAACUGUAGCACCUCAAAACAUGAUGCAACCACCCCAAAGAAGGCCUCUGUUGCUACAGGUAAGAAGUACUCAGGUAAGGACAAGCUGUAGGCAACCAUUUUAUUUUUUCUUUACUUUUCUUUUAUCGCACAAAAAAUUACAAAAGUUCGCAUUUAUUCUAUCAUCAAGUGUACUUUGGCAUGUCAGGCA
rnacentral:lncRNA from 1 species